rnacentral:lncRNA from 1 species
UGCAUCCAUGGGUGAGAUUAGGACCUAUCCUCACCUAUGAGAUAGUAGGAACACCAUGUAGCGGUUGAUGAUGUUUACAUUACUUAUUAGCAUACAUGUUAGAGGAUGGAUGAUCGUGAGUGGAUGUACAAAAGCUGCACAAGUCAAAGUGAUUUCACCACUGAAUGGAUGAUGAAGACCGAUGAUUUCUUGGAACUAGCAUUUGGCGAGUG